UGAAUUAUACUACAUCGCUCACAAAGAACUAUUUUAAUUUUAUUUUACUUCUCACAUGUUUUUCAUGUCAACAAUUACUCAAAUAUUUCUUUAUCGUAAAUAUAUACACAUAUGUAUAAGUGAUUAAACUAUUUCCUCAUCACACAGGCCUAUUAAUAUUCUAUUCGGUAUACUAAUUCCGCUAAUUGGCCGGAAUAGCGAAAUAACUCGCUAUAACUGAAUCUGGCUCGAUAAUCGCAAGAACUGUGAAGUCGACGAGAGUUUUGUGACUCACGCAAUUUAUCGAGCACCUAAUGAGCAUCGCACUAACACAUUAAUUUAUUUAACGUUCGAACUAUUCUAAACAAUUCAUCAGCUUACCGUUUCAACAGCUGCCACGAAUCCACGAGAUCGGUAGCGAUUUUCCGAUCCAGGCAAUUUGUCGAGCGCUUAGGGAAUAUCGCGCUGCUAGCUUCGUCUUCACCUGAUUCUUGGGUUUUCUUGCUGACGCGCGGAACGAUGAUGACUUUCAAGUUUCAGCUGAAGUCGGGAGCGAGCUGGUGAGGUGGGGUUUGAGCAGAGGAUGACAUGUUUGACGACUCGACGGCAAACGACGCGACGACGAGCUGAUCAAAUAAAAACUCCACGACGCCGACCGGCACAUGGGUUAGAGAACGGCGGCUGGUGAAAUCCGAGCGGGCAAGCGUACGGCAGGGAGCUUCGCAAUUUGACGGGACCGUGACCGAGCGAAUUUUAUGGCACGGACUGUGGAAGGACUCGGCAAGCGACGACGCGAGAAGUAAAGCGAGAUCGCGGUCGGGCGAACUCUAUGGUGCAGACUGCCUCACGGCCAAGACAGCUGUCGCGACAUGCACGGCAUCGCCACACCACAAUAUCACCACGGCCAUAACUCGAUGUGCGCACAGGCAGCUAGAGACCGAGCUAGGAAUCGCGCGUGAGCUUGACCAAAUCCGAGCAGGGAGAAAGAGGAGCAGGGCUGGCUAGAGUCGGGCACGGCGCUGGAGGGCGACUGAGAUGCGCGACGCAGGGGCUAGAGCACCGCUGGCCAUGGGAGGGAGAGGCAGCUGAGCCACGCGCCAUGGAGGACAGGAGCUGGGCGCGGCCACAGAGAGACGCUGGGAGCAGAGCGCUUGCUGGGAGAUGGAGAUGUGGCCGAGCGCCAUGGGUGAGCAGGGAGCAGCGAGGGCGUGGCUGCUGGGGAAACGAAGCUCCACGGCGAGCUGGAGCAUCACGGCGCGCAGGAGCUCUGGCCGAGCGCAGACGCCAUGGCGCGCGGCGAGCAGAGCAGGCAUGCGCAGGAGAUUAGAGAGAGGAGAAAGACGGCGGAAGGGUUGGAGGCUAGGGAAGCCGAGCGUUGCUGCUCCACCGGUGCGGGAGCUCGGUGGUGGAAGCAGCUGGAGUAGAUGUCGACUUCGAGAUGAGCCUGAGCGAAGGUACCACGGAGAUAAGAAUCAGACGUGUAGGGAUAAGAUUGAUGAAGCAAAAUAUCAGAAGAGAUGAUGAUCGUAGAGAAGGGGCAGGGAGCUCCAGGGAGGAGAUAAGCUCUGGUGAAGAAAGAUCCAGGGAGAGGAUAGCGAUGGGAGGAAGAGGAGAAAAAAAUCCUCACGCUAGGAUAGGAUCGGCUGGUAGUUAGUUUUUUUUAUUUCUUUCUUCUCUUUUUUUUAACCGGAAAUCAUAGAUAUUUCGAUCACGAUUUUUAAGGAUAUACACGGGGUUGACAUGCUAUAUAGCUACACAUUUCAUUCUAAUGAUUUAGCGAACUAAAUCAUCUACUAAAUACUUGCUGUCAGUACUAAUUACGGUGGUUUCGUUUACUUCGGACAGGAUGCAAAUAAACCGAAUUAGACGAAUUUCGGCUUCGGUAUUUAGUCGGCGCUUAACUCGUCUAACCUGGUAGUCUCAUUCACUAAUUAAGCACCUGAUUUCUCUGCCGAAGACAACAUACUGGAAAAAGAGGCCCAAUUAUUACUCUUGCGCUCGCCAAAACAGCGUGCUGAAGAACAAAUUGGAUCACCUCCUCCCGCACGAUUUUUCUCGGACAACGCGUGAUACAGAUUAUUUCGCCUCGAACAUUUUAAUCGUCGAGUUCAAAAUAAAUUUGUUUGAGAUGAAAUCAUCAGAAUGGGUUGGGCUUCCGAAUUCGUAUCCGAGCGAACGAUAAAUUUUAAUUACUCACCGGACACACCGAUUUUCAAAACAAAUACGUUCCGAACAACACGAAAAUUUUGGAAGAGCCCGAAUAAGUAGAAGUAAAAAUGAUGUCGCACUCGCGACAAACGGAACAGAUGCGAUAUUAAAAUCGCGAUAAGCGAGGAUGAUUAAAAUUUAAAAUCUGUUUUAUCUACUGAUAUUGCGUGCUUAAAUCCGUACUCGUUGUCGAGCGGAAUAUAAACACCUGGGGUGUUACAGCCCUCCCCCCUUAAAAGAAUCUCGUCCCGAGAUUCGGAGCGAAAGACUUUCAAGAGUAGAGAAGCAUGUAACCCACGUCCAUAUCAGCGGUAAUCAUAAGGCAGUUCUGAGCGAAGGCAAGUGUCUCAGGAUGUUGUUUCUCUAGUGGACAUAACAUGUAUCGCCUUAGGCUAAUUUAGAAAUGUCCACCGCAAGGGACGAUGUCUGCCAGAGGAACACAUAAGGUUCCAUGUGUGCAGUUUGCUUUCUCUGAUGACACUGUAUUAUCUGAGUCUGUUGAGCGAGCAGCAAAUACGUGAUUUUACCCAAAAAGAAUCAGAUGCAUCAUCUUGGGUAAACCACACAUAAAGAGGUUUACCAACAAGUGGUUACGGUAAGCUCAUAGCACAAGUGAUGAGUGCGGAUGUCGAACAACACCACAGUUGACCCGUGGCUAGCCAGAAAAUCCAAGUCCAAGAGAAAUGAUAAAGACUCAUAAAAUAUCAACGAAGAGAUCCGUUGAUGUUGGCUUUGCAACCAAUCCAUUUUAUCAAGCACUAGUCACGGCUCGACCUGAUCACUCAUGCUGGAAAAGCACACGCGAGACGAUCGAGGCACGACUAGAGCGAUGAUUAGGUGGUUACUAGUCGAAUUAACUUGGAUUUUGUAAGUACUUUCUCAGGAUGGUUUGUGCCAAAGUGAGUUUAGAUAACUCGAUAAAUCGAUCUCUAAACUCAACCUUUGUUCAUUGGGCAGUUACAAGUUAGUAAAACCAACUUGUUGAACUACUUUUGACAUUGAGCAGAUCCUCUCAGUGCCAUCGGUAAGCCAACGGUCGAGAGUUUACUUUGGCUAACAGGAGAUCAUGCACUUGGGUAGAAAUCCAUUUGGUCAGGUUGUUCAUCCGUUUCUUCCAUGCGGGAGGAACUGACUUGUUCUGGAAAUAUAUGGGUUAAAUAAGAGAGCGAAUGAACAAACUCCUGCAUCUCAACAGCUGGGGAAAUCCAAUCUCCAUUCUGAGAGCUAAUUAGCUGUCUCUUGACACUAAAAAGCUCCAAGGCUUCACCUUUACACAAAGGACGUAAAGGGAACAGGUAUGAGUAGUCACUACCAAGAUCAAAAGUAAUAAGACCACACAUGAGAGUGGUAUGCCCUUUUGAUCCAACGGAGAUGACAGAUGUUGCUUGAUCACUUGACAAACAACAUAGAAAUCGUUUCAAGGAAGGAGUCCGCGGAAGAUCACACAUCGGUGUAGUUCCACAAUGGAUCAUAACUAGAGAUUUCGAUACCAGCAUGCGCCAAGCAGCAGAAUCCUGUGUGCACAUUCACAGGAGGCUCUCAGUUUCGCCGUAGUACCAUAAGUCAUUAAUUGAGACGCCAUUAUCGAACUGGCACCAAUAAUGAAUCUCGCGUGGUAAGAAUAAUCUGCGUAAAGAUAACAUAUCGAUAUAGUCUAAUAAUGGAUUAUGACUACUAACGGUGAUACCAGUGGAUGCCAAGUUGCGCAACCAUGUGUGUGCAUCCACAAGAGGCCCUCGGUUACAUCGCGGUGCCAUCGGUUUUAGUCAUAACACCAUUGCCAGACGUAACCAAUAAGAAAUCUCGCGUGACACCAAUGGAUUGAACAAAGGUGACAAUAUACAAAGAAAUACUCCACCUGUAAAAAUGGUUACAAGUAGAGACCAAAUAGAUCAUGGCCCGAUGAAACGAACAAGGUAUGGCCAUAACCUAAACUUGUUAAUGAAGGGAGUACGAUGGGAGACUGUUAAUUCAGCCACAAGCAUAUUUCUAUGCACAUCGUAGAGAUUACAAGGCCAAAGAUUAAGUUGAUAUGCCUCCGAUAGAUAGGGGAAACCAAAGGCAUCAAUUUCAAGAAAAUACUCGGGCAGGUCUUUUCUGGGUUAGGUCGAUGGGUCGACAAUGCGAUAAGGGAGAAUUCAAAUUUGGGUCAUAGUUCACUAACUAAGAAUAUGACCUAGUUUUUCGGUUUAAGCAGACAAACUACCAACCUUCUAUCGGCACAUCAAGUACCAGGGUAAAUACAUAUAAUACCUAAAUAGAUUACCUAAGAACGGAGGAUAGCUAUUUCAUCGAAGUUCAUAACACAACAUUACACCACAUUAACUACAAUCAAUGGUUACUGGAAUAAGGAUGAGAGAAGCAUUUUGGGUGUAUAGGUGACAAACAUGAUGCAACAAUCAGGAUGCAUGCUCGUCCUAUUUGUCCUCACGAAUUUUGCCAACAUAAUAUGGCAAUAACGUUCUAUAUCGGUGGCAUACUAACGACUCUCUCGGUAUUUUGCUAGUCAUCAGCUACACCUACGUUUUCGAGGUUAGUGUACCUGCAGAAAAUUCCAUUACAGCCCAUUUUCCAAUGAUGCAGUUCACAUAUGACAGUUUAUCACAGUUUAUACUCCAUAUAUUUCUAUAUGGAGGCCAGCUCAUCAUUAAGCGUCGAGCCACGCAUAGGCGUUGUUGCCACACUUUAACCAUAGGGCAACUCAUUAUGGUAACUCACCUUCUUACCUGAGCGUAGGUGCGUCGUUACAAGUACAAUACACUUCACAGUAUUCCCAUGUCGGUAUACUCAUACACAUCCAUGGGGUACUGAAUCCUAGAAAAUUAAAUACUCCAUAUCGCAUCCUUCAUAUAUACAUAUGUGGAACAUGUAUAUAAUCAAGCGCAACAAUUAAACACUUCCCUAGACCGACGGUUGUUCGGUCAUGCUCUCACAUCUCACCUUACCUUGAGCGUCGAUCCAUUCAAAACUGAAUGGCCCCAAAAAUAACAAUACACAUGUAUGCAAUACCCCCGGUUGUGGGUUAUUGGUUUUUAAAUAAGCCACCUAAUAGUCCUUAAUUUAGGGCUUAAUAGAGGAUGUCGCUAGCAUUAUAGUUUUUCAAAACUGUUUUUCAAAGCCAAACAAUGUGUUUAGUUGAAAAUAGGUUUUUCAAAACCAAAACUUUUGUUUUGAAAAUACGUAUGUGACCGUAUAUACUUAAUCCAGCUCUGAUACCAGCCUGUGGCAGAACCUCCAAGUUAUUUGGCCCACAUGCACCUGUCCUUGUCCCAAAGACCUCAGACGGCUAUGCAUGUGCACCAGAUAACUUAAAAGGAUCUGUCCGAUUGCCCCAAGGACAUCGGAUAAACCACUUACAACCAGGACCGCAAGAUUAAGUAACACAAAUCACAUACAACAAUAUUUUUGCAGCGGAAAUCUUAUUACCAAAUUUUACAAGUUACAAAAAUUUUACAUUAUUUUAUCGGAGUGAUUACAAAAGUAUAAGUUUGAAAUAUAUGCUAGCUCAAGGGAUCAUCCUCAAUAAGAAGUAUAGAAGGGUUACUUAGACUUAUAAGAAGGCCAAGCCCACCGGCACUUAACACCAUCAACAAUAGCACAAAGUUAGAACCUGAAAAACAACAGGGAAUAAAACCCUGAGUAUGGAAUUACUCAACAAGACUUACCCGACUAAAGAAAAGACUCUCAAGGGUAUGGUGGUUUAAGGGAGUCAAGGUAAGGCUUCUCAAUAAUCAAAGACUCUGUUUUGCAGAAAUGCUUACUAAAGUGGAUCCUUAAAAAUCCAGUUUUAUUUGUCAAGUUAAGUAAAAUUACCUGCAACUAGAGUUCUUUCUACCCUAGUUCAAUCACUUGACCUACACUAGCCAAUUUCUUAACAAACCCAUCAUCUUUAGUGGAUUGCUACGUAUAGGGCAGUGACCAAGUCUUCAUAACCGCGAAGGUACGGCGCUCCGAAUCGAUUAUACUCAGCUGAGGAUCUCCAAUCAUACGACAUAUGUAGCACUUAACCCUUGCAUAUGUCAACCCGCCACCGGGGUUCUUAAGACCAGAUCAGGUUCACGCAAACCGAGAGCACAGAUACACCACCGUCCAGCCUCUUGCCACGGAGGGUACACGCUACUCCCGCCACCGCUCCACGCCCAUUUCGUGUUAUCUUAUUCUGGCCUUAGUCUGCCCGAGGCAAGGCUUACCCAUGACGAGGCAUGUGACCAGCUAAAGGGUCCUCGGUCAUCAAGCCUACAUCGAGACGGUCCUUAAUCGACUCAGACGGAGACACUACACCGAGACUCUCUUCUCGUGCAAGUCACCCGCCCGGUCUCAGCUUAAUCAUUUAAACCCAAAUCUUGGUACCUGGCAGAGGUACAUCUUUUCCGAUGUUGAACCCAUCAUGGCCAUGAUGGAUCCACCAUCAAGUUUUAUUUUUGAAAACAACCCUCCCACUUUGCCAAACAUUUUUUGUAAAACAAAUCCUUUUGUUUUUCUAGAGCAAUACUAAGCAUAGUAAAACCUCUUUGUAAAAACAGGGUUUCAAGGAAGGUAAUCAAGUUCAAGGAAGGUAAUGCAAGAAUUGUUUAAGCAUUCAACUCCUAUCACCUAAUGCAGCAAGCAAGUGAGAAAGAUUUUAAAAACAUCAAGGAAGGUGGCAAAUGCACCGGGGCUUGCCUGAGUAACACUAGGUUAGUGUUUGUUAGGCGACCACUUGGCGAGUAUCCUUUGGCUUGGCACUCAUUCAGAUUAUCCAUCUUCCGGUUCGUCCAUCAGCUUCAUCCUGCGGAGUAGUCCGCGCUUGGGGUCGACUUGGCUUGUCUUCCACAUCGCGCGAUUAAUUAACGUACCUAAAUGAAAUGCAUUAUGCACAUGAAUGUAUAUCGACAAGAAUAUCACACACCUAAAUAGUGCUACGCGAUGGCGAUUUAAACACCUAGCGGCGAGGCAUUGUACAAUUUUGUAUGGAAACAAUAGUUAUUAAUAUACGACUACGCGCAAUAAUUACGCUUCUCUAGAUUAACCGAACCUAACGUGAACAUCACAAAACAACAAAUUAUACACCUUUAAUACAAUUAGCCUAACCACAACUUAUCAGUUAAUUAAUUGAAUUCUAAACUUAUCCCUCGUUUUAUGAAUUACACUACAUCGCUCACAAAGAACUAUUUUAAUUUUAUUUUACUUCUCACAUGUUUUUCAUGUCAACAAUUACUCAAAUAUUUCUUUAUCGUAAAUAUAUACACAUCUGUAUAAGUGAUUAAACUAUUUCCUCAUCACACGGGCCUAUUAAUAUUCUAUUCGGUAUACUAAUUCCGCUAAUUGGCCGGAAUAGCGAAAUAACUCGCUAUAACUGAAUCUAGCUCGAUAAUCGCAAGAACUGCGAAGUCGACGAGAGUUUCGUGACUCACGCAAUUUAUCGAGCACCUAAUGAGCAUUGCACUAACACAUUAAUUUAUUUAACGUUCAAACUAUUCUAAACAAUUCAUCAGCUUACCGUUUCAACAGCUGCCACGAAUCCACGAGAUCGGUAGCGAUUUUCCGAUCCAGGCAAUUUGUCGAGCGCUUAGGGAAUAUCGCGCUGCUAGCUUCGUCUUCACCCGAUUCUUGGGAUUUCUUGUUGACGCGCGGAACGAUGACGACUUUCAGCUGAAGUCGGGAGCGAGCUGGUGAGGUGGGGUUUGAGCAGAGGAUGACAUGUUUGACGACUCGACGGCAAACGACGCGACGACGAGCUGAUCAAAUAAAAACUCCACGAC
rnacentral:lncRNA from 1 species